GUCCAUCAGUCCCUCUGGUGAAAUAGUGGAGGGCAGUUCAGUGACUCUGACCUGCAGCAGUGAUGCAAACCCACCUGAGAAGAUCUACACCUGGUUUAAGAGAUCAGCGUCAAUAGGAGAAGGAAAAACCUACAGCAUUCCCAACAUCAGAUCUGAGGACAGUGGAGAAUACACAUGCCAGAGUCGGAAUGAUCUUGGACAGAGAAACUCCACUGCUUUGCAGAUAAAUGUUCUUUAUCCUCCAAAGAACUCAUUCAUUUAUGAAAGUUGCCUGUCUGUCUCUAUACAGGCUACCCCGUGAUUCUGUAUGUAGCUCUUGGAGUCGGACUCUGUUUUAUUUUUUUAGUCGUUCUCACUGCAGUUUUUUGGAGAUUUCGAGGAAGCAUCAAUGAGGCCAUCACCAUCCAUUUCAAAAGCUCUACCAAUCCUGAGUACACUAUGCAUUGACCUGCAGUCAAAAGUCAUGAUCACUGAAAAGAAGUGGAGGAGGGGAAAGACCUCUGACAUCACACAUCAUGGCAGAUGCUGAGAAAUUUUCAGAAAGCAGGUCGAGAUCUCACCCUGUCCAUUGGAUGACCUGAUGAUGUUUACUCUAUCAGCUGGGUGACACUGUUCUGAGAUCAGCACUGACAACAAGUGGUGGAGCUGGUUAAAGUCCUGCGGAGAGGUCAGUGCUCUCAAUGGUAAACAUUAUGAAGAACUUUAGUAUAAGAAAUGGGAAAUGAAAGGGGUUUGUGGUUUUACUGAUAGAUAAUUCUGUUUUUGCAGCAGAUUAUGCUGAUGUCUUGCUGCAGCAGAUGUCACAUGUACCCAGGCAGAGGAAGUUGGUAUAUUAAAAAAGUUUGAAUAAAGUGCAACAGCUUGCAGCGUCAUUAGUGUCAACCACAUGCAUUUGAACGGUUCAUGUAUCACCACAGCUUUCAUUUCUCGUCAGUUGGGCGUUGGUGAUGAGACUCUAUACAGAGCGGUAAGGCUGAUUCUUCAGAUCUGAGUAGGUUUAGUAA